rnacentral:lncRNA from 1 species
CAUAUAUGUUCACUAAAAUGUAGUUCCUUCGUAUUUUUAGCUAAAUUUAUUUAAAAAAUAAAUAAAUAACAUGCAUCCUAUCUUUCUUUUUCUUUCUCUCUCUCAAAAAAAGAAAAUUUAGCUGAUAAGAAGAUGUGCGCCGUCUUGUAGAGCAAAAAUUCCGACCGUCCCUAGAGCAAGUGGUAAAGGGUUUGGUGGUUGGUACCUGAGAUCCAGUUCGAAUACUAGUUGAUUCACAUUUCCAUCUAAGUUUAUUUCUAAAUGAAAUAAACAAAGCGGGUAACGUGCUAUCUAUCUCUGAAAAAAAAAAAAGUUUUAUAU